UUCUAAACAGUAAGAAGAUAAUGCUCUCCCCUCCUCCCAUCCCAUCAAUCAUCACCAGAUCUUCAAUAAAAGUAAGUGUCAUUUAAUUGUGCAUGCCUUUUUCAGUUUGUGUGUAUUAAAAUUAACAUUUCAUGUGGUAAAAAAAAAAUUUUUUCAUACUUUUGGGCGUCUUGCACGGAUUAAUUUUAUUUCCAUUAUUUCUUAUGGGGAAAAUUCAUUCGCAUAACGAUUAUUUCGCAUAACGAUUAUCCCUCUUGCACGGAUUAAAAUCGUUAACCGGGGGUCCACUGUAUUAAGUUUUGAGAAACAUUGGGUAAUGGCCAGUUGUACUAUUCAUUUUUUAUGCUGUCUCCAGCUUACAAACAUCCAAACAUCUGCAUUUAUAAGCAGGGCACUUGUGAACCAGAGAGGUAUACAGUGAUAGCUCUCAUAUCCGAAUUAUAUGUGCCGAGACCGGUUUGGAAACUCGAAGUUUCCAGAUACGUGAGGGGGGAAAAAUGCACAUCCAUUCCAUCAUAUCGCCAUCCAUACCCUGUUAUAUCGCCAUCAGCAAUGGCAUUGUAAGUUUAAAAAAGGAGUCCAGUGUCAUCUGGUGGUAGUCCCAGACACUGGAUUUCAUGGAGCACAUGACCAUAACUUUUCAAAUGGGCUGUGGACAGUGGAUGCUCCAAAUACUCCAAAAGUGUUUUGACACCUGCCCUUGCUGCUGAAGUUUUUGAUCUUGGAGACAUUGGGUCGUCUUCGCCGUUGUCACUUUUGGAAUGUUUCAGGUGAAACGCUGAUUUUACAAUCUCUGCAUCCAUCGUAUUGCACACCAGGAUCAUUUUCGUCACUCACUAGCCAAUUCUGCACAUCAGCACCACGAACCAUCAUACCACUACCACGUUGUUGUAGGUACCACUUCAUCACACAGUGAUAGAGUUCCAAGCUCUGUGGCUUUGCCAUCACUUUUGUUUCAGCACUUUUUCCUGUUUUUGAGGCGGCAGAAAACUCACUUGUGUAGGUUAUAAUCUUAUCACGAGCCUUCUUGAUAUCACAGAGGGUGGCUAAGAGCAUGACUCUUAGUGGCCACCCAGUACACUAAAGUGCAUGCCAAGUUUGAUUCAGCCUUCUGCCAUAUCCGAACGGCUGUUCAGAUGUUUCGGCAAUAAUUUUAGUAUUUUGCCCUUUUCCAGGGCCUGGUCAGAUGUUGGCGAGGUUCAGAUAAUGGCAGGCCGGUUAUGUGAGGUAUCGCUGUACUUUUAGAAGGUAUAUUUGUGAAAAAGAAAGGUAUACUUUUAGAAGGUAUACUUGUGAGCCAGAGAGGUAUACUUUUAGAAAUAGCUAUCAUCUGCUAUACCUGAGAAUGUUGUAUUGUGCCCAGCGAGGAUAGAUAUAAAAAUAUAAUCAUUAUUACCAGAAUUUAUUGUUGUAAGUAACAGUCGAGGAGGUGAAUGUGAGGCUUAUCACAAUUCUGUUUCAGCAUCCACACUCGUGAAUACCUCACUUCAGUUAAUGUUUUACAACCACUACUGUGUGGCCCUUUCAUGUUUAGCACUUACCUUGAUUAUUCAGAUUCAGAUUUUUAUUUGUUUUAUGCAGUACACAUAGUUUAAUAAAAUAUUGUUAGGUGCAAAAGAAAGCCACUAGUAUGCAGUGUAUUUUGAGCAAACUAAUCUUAAUGCUUCAGGACUACUUAAGAACUAGACACAGAUUGUUGACACUCACUGAACCACAGUACAAACAUGUGAAAUAUACCUGCCCAGUGGCAGCCAUAACGAAUUUAGUUAUUUAGUAAACAGAGGUAUACAGGCGCGCCUCGCUUUACAGUACUUCACUAAAAGGGUUUUUCAGUUACAGUGGACCCCCGCAUAACGAUUACCUCCGAAUGCGACCAAUUAUGUAAGUGUAUUUAUGUAAGUGCGUUUGUACGUGUAUGUUUGGGGGUCUGAAAUGGACUAAUCUACUUCACAAUAUUCCUUAUGGGAAUAAAUUCGGUCAGUACUGGCACCUGAACAUAAUUAUGGAGUGAAAAAAUAUCGUUAACCGGAGGUCCACUGUAUACCCAUUUAUUUAUUCAGACUUCCUACAAUAAAUAUAUUUACCACUCUAAGCUAAGGAUGAAAAUAUCUUAAGUAAUGUGUGUACUGUAUACACAUUUUUUAAGCCUAGCUCUAUUGUUCACUUAAUAUAUGACAGUGUAAAUGUGUUACCAGGCUUUUAUAUGCAUUUGAAAGUGAAAAAGACUGAUUCACUUUACAGUAAUAGCCCAGAACCUAACCUGCUGUACAGGUCCCCACUUAUACAGCAGGUUAGGUUCUGGGCUACUGCUGUACUGGAGGUUCCCACUUAUACGGCAGGUUAGGUUCCGGGCUACUGCUGUACUGGAGGUCCCCACUUAUACGGCAAGUUAGGUUCCGGGCUACUGCUGUACUGGAGGUUCCCACUUAUACAGCAGGUUAGGUUUUGGGCUACUGCUGUACAGGAGGUCCCCACUUACACAGCAGGUUAGGUUCUGGGCUACUGCUGUACUGGAGGUUCCCACUUAUGCGGCAGGUUAGGUUCUGGGCUACUGCUGUACUGGAGGUUCCCACUUAUACGGCAAGUUAGGUUCCGGGCUACUGCUGUACUGGAGGUCCCCACUUAUACGGCAGGUUAGGUUCCAGGCUACUGCUGUACUGGAGGUCCCCACUUAUACGGCAGGUUAGGUUCCAGGCUACUGCUGUACUGGAGGUCCCCACUUAUACGGCAGGUUAGGUUCCAGGCUACUGCUGUACUGGAGGUCCCCACUUAUACGGCAGGUUAGGUUCCAGGCUACUGCUGUACUGGAGGUCCCCACUUAUACGGCUGGUUAGGCUCCGGGCUACUGCUGUACUGGAGGUCCCCACUUAUACGGCUGGUUUGGUUCCGGGCUACUGCUGUACUGGAGGUCCCCACUUAUACGGCAGGUUAGGUUCCAGGCUACUGCUGUACUGGAGGUCCCCACUUAUACGGCUGGUUAGGCUCCGGGCUAUUGCUGUACUGGAGGUCCCCACUUAUACGGCUGGUUAGGCUCUGGGCUACUGCUGUACUGGAGGUCCCCACUUAUACGGCUGGUUAGGUUCCGGGCUACUGCUGUACUGGAGGUCCCCACUUAUACAGUAGGUUAGGUUUUGGGCUACUGCUGUAUAGGAGGUCCCCACUUAUACGGCUGGUUAGGUUCCGGGCUACUGCUGUACUGGAGGUCCCCACUUAUACAGUAGGUUAGGUUUUGGGCUACUGCUGUACUGGAGGUCCCCACUUAUACUGCUGGUUAGGUUCCGGGCUGCUGCUGUACUGGAGGUCCCCACUUACACAGUAGGUUAGGUUUUGGGCUACUGCUGUAUAGGAGGCCCCCACUUAUACAGCAGGCUAGGUUCUGGGCUACUACUGUACAGGAGGGCCCCACUUAUACAGCAGGUUAGGUUCUGGGCUACUGCUGUACAGGAGGGCCCCACUUAUACAGCAGGUUAGGUUCUGGGCUACUACUGUACAGGAGGGCCCCACUUAUACAGCAGGUUAGGUUCUGGGCUACUGCUGUACAGGAGGGCCCCACUUAUACAGCAGGUUAGGCUCCGGGCUACUGCUGUACAGGAGGGCCUUACUUAUACAGCAGGUUAGGUUCUGGGCUACUGCUGUACAGGAGGGCCUCACUUAUACAGCAGGUUAGGUUCCGGGCUACUGCUGUACAGGAGGGCCUCACUUAUACAGCAGGUUAGGUUCCGGGCUACUGCUGUACAGGAGGGCCUCACUUAUACAGCAGGUUAGGUUCCGGGCUACUGCUGUAAGUACAAAUGUUGUACUCUGUGUCUUCUAUAUUGAUUUUUUGUUCUUCAGUAGUUUAACAUCAUUGGUUUGGCAGACAUUUGAAGCUAGUUCAGUUGAUUCAGAAAUAAAAUCCUUUGGUUGGAGAAUGUUUACAAUGAUGGCCAAUUAACAUGAUCUGUGUCCACCACAGUUGCUAUUACCAGCCUUCUGCUCGCCCAUAUUAAUAAUAAUACAUCUAGGUCUUGAUUAGUGAGAAUGAUGAAUCCCUGUAAAGUGGUCACAUUAUUCAAAUUCACAUUUCAAUGCAAUUAUUGUGCAUGAAUUGAAAAGUUUGGGGAGAAAACUAACACUAAUUUUGCACUAAAUAAUCACACUAAUCGAAACCUGGAUGUAAUUUGUUUUCCACUAAAUUUUUUUAACCCUUAAACUGUCCAAACAUAGAUCUACGUUCAUGUGCGUAGCGCUCCGACCUUUAUCUUCCCCGUUUGAAAGCAUGUAAAAAAAAAAAAAGAUCUAUGUUUGGAACCCCCCCCCCCACACACACACACACACGUGGGCAUAGAUCUACGUUUGGACAGUUAAGGGUUAGUGACUCAUGAAAUCAUGAUAAUUCCAAAUAAACCACGGUACGGGUGGGGUUAGAACCCAUGGCAAGUGAGUCGUAAAACUUCAGGCUAGUGCAUAAGUGAUCCCAGGCGCCUCUGGUCAGAGGUGCCUGGGAUCACUUAGUAUCUUAGUCCAUCAGAUUGACGAUUUAUUUUUAAUUUACAUAUCUAUUUAAAGGAUUGUUAAAUUUAAAUGUGAUAAACUAUUGGGAAAUGUUGCCUUAGAUGGUGAAGACUGACUCAGUGUACAGAGAUAUGACCCUUCAAGGUGGUGCCUUGAUAUGUGACCCUUCAAGGUGGUGCCUUGAUAUGUGACCCUUCAAGGUGGUGCCUUGAUGUGACCCUUCAAGGUGGUGUCUUGAUAUGUGACCCUUCAAGGUGGUGCCUUGAUAUGUAACCCUUCAAGGUGGUGCCUUGAUAUGUGACCCUUCAAGGUGGUGCCUUGAUAUGUGACCCUUCAAGGUGGUGCCUUGAUGCUGGUGAAGAGGUUUUAGGCCAGAGACUUGGCAUACACUUUUCCUGGACCAGUCUUGUUAUACCUUCGAUGAGUCUCGAGACUUUUCCUUCUCCUGGAGCUUAGGCCAGGCUUGUCUUAAUGCUAGCCUGGUCACCCAGGAGUUUGUUGCUGGUUGCUCGCUGCCCACACAUCCAGCACAGCCUGGUUGACCACUACAGGUAUGAUGACUGCCCACAAAGAUGAAAAGUGAUCAUCCAGGCUGUUGUUGCUGGUGGCUCGCUGCCCACACGUCCAGCACGGCCUGGUUGACCCCUACAGGUUUGACGGCUCCCCACAAAGAUGAAAAGUUAAAAAAUAUCUAAAGCCGUUUUCAAUUAUUUUGUUAAAUUCUUAACCGAGCCAUUAAUGUUAUUGUAAGGUUCUUCAGGGGUUCAAAUUGUUCUUUGAUCAAACUGGCUGGACUCUGGGAGUAGGACUCUCAAAACUGGCUGGACUCUGGGAGUAGGACUCUCAAAACUGGCUGGACUCUGGGAGUAGAAGGACUCUCAAAACUGGCUGGACUCUGGGAGUAGGAGGACUCUCAAAACUCAUCAAAGGUUUACCCUAUUCACAGGUUCUCUCUGACCCCUGAGAGUUUAGCACUUCCCCAUUCUAUAGUUCAAGGUUACCAGUGGUACUGCAUACGGUAACAUUAAUAAGAGAAGCAUUGAAUAACCCAUAUGAGUUUAGUGCUUUUUUGUGACUAAUAAUUGAGAAAUUCUGAAAUAGAAAGAGCACUGAAGAAUUACAUAUCUCCAAGUUGUUUUUAUUAUUAUUAUUAUUAUUAUUAUUAUUAUUAUUAUUAUUAUUAUUAUUAUUAUUCAAGUUGUACAGUGAGCAUUCUUGAUGCACCUUGGGUCAGCUUACACAAUUUAGGGUGGAAAAUGUAGACUAAGAUCGUCUUGGGACAUUUUUAAGGUCACUCUUGACUGGUGCCUAGACCUGACUGAAAUUUGGUCUAACAAUUUCCAAUCCAAAAUUGUGGGUGGCUCGUUUGUUGUUUCAAAACAGUAUUGUGGGUUGCUUGUGAGUUGUUCCAGUUAUGGUAUUAAGUCAUUUGUGAAUUGUUCCAGUGCAGUAUUGUGGGUUGCUUGUGAAUUGUUCCACCACAACAUAGUUGCUUGUGAAUUGUUCCAGCCAAUAUGUUGUAGGUUGCUUGUGAAUUAUUCCAGCACGGUGUUGUGGGUUAAUUGUGAAUUGUUCCAGCCAUGGUAUUGUGGGUUACUUGUGAUUUGUUCUUGCCAGUAUUUCGAACCCCUCAAGGAAUGUGCCUUGAUUCUGAUGAAGGGCUCUUGAUCCAAAGAGGUGGAUAUAUCUUCCACUUCCUUGGAUUGAACCAGAUUGCCUCCCAUUCCCCAUGUGCUGUAUGACCCCCUGUGGUUUUAGGUCUUUCCUAUAAUUCAUCUUGGUGACAUCCUCUCAGUUGAUGUCAUUCUCUCAAAUACCUCUGUCUCUUCCCUUCCCCCUGCCCCCCAUGCUGUUCAGGGCUGUGACACCCAUGUGGUUUUAGCUCUCUCCAUGAAUGCCAGUAAUAAUGUCCUCGGUAAAUCACAUCAUGCACAAAGAAGGUCGAAUCUGCCAACUGCAAAAAUAAACACAAAUACCCUAUUGAGGAAUGAAUCUUGAUUUAUUGGGAAUGUACGUUCUUAAACAGAUUUAACUGAAUGACGAGAAACACUUUUAAACGAAGCGUUAGUGUAUAUGUAAUUUUUUUUUAUUUAUACAUUCAAGUUGACAUUUUUGCAAAGAAUUAGUUUUAAAAACAGCAUUAAUAUUUUUGUUAAAUAGCUGGAUCAACACAUCUUUUCAUUUCUACAAUGAAAGUUAGAUGAUUGUUUUAUGAUAUGCAGUUUCUGUGUAUACAUUGAGUGAAAUGUAUCAUUUCAAGAGAUCUUCUGCCACCUAAAGUGUGUCUAGUGCCUCUAGAUUGACAACAUACUAGGUUAAGUUGUGUACAGUUGUGUGUCCACUAAGCCAUGUAUAUGUAUAGCAUAUGUAGGGAUGCCAUAUUUAUUAUUAUUAAGAAGCAAGUUGUUCAGGAACCUGCUGAGCUGAUUGUGGUGUAUAUUGGUCAUUGAGACUAUGGAGUCCACAGAAUAUAUAGCGAGUCCCAAGCUUACAGAUGCUGGAGUUACAAUCAUCUGCAGGUACAAACAAGGUCGUAAGUAACGAGAUUUACAAAUACUGUAUAAUUUUCCUGCUGUCCAACUUCGAUUACAAACAUGUAUGACACAUACCUUUCCUUUGUACUGUUUUUUCUAUAAGAAAAUCAUUCUGAUUAACUUUCUAAGUAAUGAAUAAUGUGUGUAGGUUGGAAUACCAGGGAUGUAACUCUUUGAGAUCCCUUGUGUUUGAUAUUAUUACAGUAGCACCUGUAAGGACAGGAUAUAAUUCCUCUACUGAUCUGAUUGAAUGUACUUUGUAAUAUGCUAAUAUAAGUAUAAUGUACUAGUUGUUUCGACUGGUUUGAUUUAAAGUCUAUCUACUACACAAGGGUCAUUAAGACUGUCACCUGUACAACAACACUCUUAAAAGAAAUUUUAAUCCCUAAAAAUGGGAUUGUAACUCAGCAUAUACAUGAUGAGAUAAACAUAUAUCUUCAUAUAUAUAUCCUAGUAGUAUACCAGUACUGUACAUUACAAACAUGAAUAUGUAGCUGGGAAAUUGAGCACUUGCAUUUUGUAAGCCAAAUAAGUUAGGUAUAUUACCCUCCAUGGUAGGGUAAUGGUAAGAAUAUUUCUUUUGUAUUCUGUGAGUUGAAUUAAAGAAUGUAAUGAUUGUC